rnacentral:misc_RNA from 1 species
GAUGAAGAACGUAGCGAAAUGCGAUAAGUAACGUGAAUUGCAGAAUUCAGUGAAUCAUCGAAUCUUUGAACGCACCUUGCACCCUUUGGCUAUUCCGAAGGGUAUGCCUGUUUGAGUAUCAUGAACACCUCAACUCUCAUGGUUUGCCAUGAUGAGCUUGGACUUUGGGGGUCUUGCUGGCCUGUGGUCAGCUCCUCUCAAAUGGAUUAGCUUGCCAGUGUUUGGUGGCAUCACAGGUGUGAUAACUAUCUACGCUUGUGGUUUUCCACCAGGUAACCUUCAGCAAUGGGGGUUCGCUGGGGCUCAUAAAUGUCUCUCCUCAGUGAGGACAGCUCUUUGAACGUUUGAUCUCAAAUCAGGUAGGACUACCCGCUGAACUUAAGCAUAUCAAUAAGCGGAGGA